rnacentral:rRNA from 1 species
AUUGAACGCUGGCGGCAGGCCUAACACAUGCAAGUCGAGCGGAUGAGAGGAGCUUGCUUCUCGAUUCAGCGGCGGACGGGUGAGUAAUGCCUAGGAAUCUGCCUGGUAGUGGGGGACAACGUUUCGAAAGGAACGCUAAUACCGCAUACGUCCUACGGGAGAAAGCAGGGGACCUUCGGGCCUUGCGCUAUCAGAUGAGCCUAGGUCGGAUUAGCUAGUUGGUGAGGCAAUGGCUCACCAAGGCGACGAUCCGCAACUGGUCCGAGAGGAUGAUCAGUCACACUGGAACUGAGACACGGUCCAGACUCCUACGGGAGGCAGCAGUGGGGAAUAUUGGACAAUGGGCGAAAGCCUGAUCCAGCCAUGCCGCGUGUGUGAAGAAGGUCUUCGGAUUGUAAAGCACUUUAAGUUGGGAGGAAGGGUUGUAGAUUAAUACUCUGCAAUUUUGACGUUACCGACAGAAUAAGCACCGGCUAACUCUGUGCCAGCAGCCGCGGUAACAC